rnacentral:rRNA from 1 species
UGAGCAAUCUGCCCUUCUCAUCGGAAUAAGCGUUGGAAACGACGUCUAAUGCCGAAUACGACCUCCUUUCGCAUGAUCGGAGGUGGAAAGCUCCGGCGGAGAAGGAUGAGCUCGCGGCCUAUCAGCUAGUUGGUGUGGGUAUGGCCCACCAAGGCGACGACGGGUAGCCGGCCUGAGAGGGUGACCGGCCACACUGGGACCNGACACGCCG